CAUGCAAGUCGAGGGGCAGCGAGGGAGUGGCAACACUUCCGUCGGCGACCGGCGCACGGGUGAGUAACGCGUAUGCAACCUGCCCUUCACAGGGGGAUAACCGGGAGAAAUUCCGACUAAUACCGCAUACGUCCUCCGGGGGCAUCCCCGGGGGAUGAAAGAAUUAUCGGUGAAGGAUGGGCAUGCGUGAUAUUAGGUAGUUGGCGGGGCAACGGCCCACCAAGCCCACGAUAUCUAGGGGUUCUGAGAGGAAGGUCCCCCACAUUGGUACUGAGACACGGACCAAACUCCUACGGGAGGCAGCAGUGAGGAAUAUUGGUCAAUGGACGAGAGUCUGAACCAGCCAAGUCGCGUGAAGGAAGACGGAUCUAUGGUUUGUAAACUUCUUUAGUGCGGGAACAAAGCGGCGUCGUGACGCCUGAUGAGUGUACCGCAAGAAUAAGCAUCGGCUAACUCCGUGCCAGCAGCCGCGGUAAUACGGAGGAUGCGAGCGUUAUCCGGAUUUAUUGGGUUUAAAGGGAGCGCAGGCUGCGAGGCAAGUCAGCGGUCAAAUGUCGGGGCUCAACCCCGGCCUGCCGUUGAAACUGUCCUGCUAGAGUUCGAGUGAGGUAUGCGGAAUGCGUUGUGUAGCGGUGAAAUGCAUAGAUAUGACGCA
rnacentral:rRNA from 1 species